rnacentral:rRNA from 1 species
GUAGGGGGCGAGCGUUGUCCGGAUUUAUUGGGCGUAAAGAGCUCGUAGGCGGUUCAACAAGUCGGUCGUGAAAGUUCAGGGCUCAACCCUGAAAUGUCGAUCGAUACUGUUGUGACUAGGAUACGGCAGAGGUGAGUGGAAUUCCGAGUGUAGCGGUGAAAUGCGUAGAUAUUCGGAGGAACACCAAUUGCGAAGGCAGCUCACUGGGCCGCUAUCGACGCUGAGGAGCGAAAGCAUGUGUAUCAAACAGGAUUAGAUACCCUUGUAGUCCAUGCUGUAAACGAUGGAAUCAUGAUGAUGG